GCCCCGUGGAGCGAUGGAGCAGCACUGCGAGGCUCUCGCCGGUCCCUCGCUCUCUCCUCGUCAUCCGCGUCCAUCCCGCGAGUCCUCGUGCCGGGCGGCAGCCGGCUGGGGCGGGAAGGCGGCAGGAUGGGGUUGCGGGUCCUGAUGGUUGCCUGCUGCUUCUGAUGCGAAGUCUGCAGAGCUGGGUGGACGGGACUGGGUCGAGGUUCGUCUUCAUCCAGUCCUAAUGGCUGGCAGCUGCUUCUGAUGCUAAAUCUACUGAGCUGCGUGGAUGGGAAUGGGUCGAGGUUCAUCUUCAGGCCUGAAGAUUGCCAGCUUUUCCUGACGCUAAAUCUGCAGAGCUGUGUGGACUGGCCUGGGUCGAGGUUCGUCUUCGUCCAGUCCUAAUGGCUGGCAGCUGCUUCUGAUGCUAAAUCUACUGAGCUGCAUGGAAGGGACUGGGUCGAGGUUCAUCUUCAGUCCUGGAGAUUGCCAGCUUCUCCUGACGCUAAAUCUGCAGAGCUGCGUGGACGGGCCUGGGUCGAGGUUCGUCUUCAUCCAGUCCUAAUGGCUGGCAGCUGCUUCUGAUGCUAAAUCUACUGAGCUGCGUGGAAGGGACUGGGUCGAGGUUCAUCUUCAGUCCUGGAGAUUGCCAGCUUCUCCUGACGCUAAAUCUGCAGAGCUGCGUGGACGGGCCUGGGUCGAGGUUCGUCUUCAUCCAGUCCUAAUGGCUGGCAGCUGCUUCUGAUGCUAAAUCUACUGAGCUGCGUGGAAGGGACUGGGUCGAGGUUCAUCUUCAGUCCUGGAGAUUGCCAGCUUCUCCUGACGCUAAAUCUGCAGAGCUGCGUGGACGGGCCUGGGUCGAGGUUCGUCUUCAUCCAGUCCUAAUGGCUGGCAGCUGCUUCUGAUGCUAAAUCUACUGAGCUGCGUGGAAGGGACUGGGUCGAGGUUCAUCUUCAGUCCUGGAGGUUGCCAGCUUUUCCUGACGCUAAAUCUGCAGAGCUGCGUGGACGGGCCUGGGUUGAGGUUCGUCUUCAUCCAGUCCUGAUGGUUGGCAGCUGUUUAUGACACUACAUCUGCAGAGCUGCGUGAACGGGACUGGGUCGAGGUUCGUCUUUGUCCAAGUCUUGCGACCAAGGAAGAGGCAGGAGAAGACACGUGAAGGAAGAAUGCAUGGGAAAGAACAUGGAGGAGAAAUAAUGUCAAUGUUGAACUGUUCAGGUUAAAAGCAAAUGUCAUGUUACGUAAAGUAAAUCCUUGUUUAAUGCGUGUUCAUACUACGCAUUUUCGUUAUAACACAGUUCACAAAAAAAACUCAACUGCUUGCAAGCAUUCAAUUAGGUUGAAAACAAAGGAAAACAAUGUUCUUCCAAAAAAACUACUUGCUGGAUUGAAAAGAACUUCACAAAAAAAUACAUUGUCAACGGAUUAAUUUUCACUUUGAAUCAGCAGAUGUUUUCAAACACCACCAUUCGCAUAUUCCCCUGCACACAUCAACCCUAAAAAUGUUCGUGAAAAUCAUCUUCCCUCCCAUUUUUGUCCCAUAUCUGAACUGGAUGUACUGGAUAAGCUCGUAUCAAGACAUCCAUGGGAGAAAAAUUAACCAACAUUUGCACUUGUGACUUAUCUAUAAACCCCUUGCACUUUUUCAGCCUCUUACCGAAGGUACAGGUCCACUAGUGGAAAUCGUCCUUAUUUGUCCAGUAUGUAAAAAUGGCUCCAAUGAAAACCCUAAUGAUUAUAGAACGAUAUCUAUUUUACCAGUUACCAAAAUAUUGGAAUAAAUAUUUAAAUCGGUCUGGUUUUCGAGAGGAUUACUGCACCACCAUAGCCAAUUAAGGAUGUAUGCAUUGUUCUCUUCAGUGGUCUGGAUAAAGGCCACUACUGUGCACUAUUUCUUGUAAAAAGUCUUUGAUACUGUUGACCAUGAUAUUCUACUCGCAAAACUUGGUAAUUACAAUUCCUGAAAUAAACUGGUUUAAAAGUUA